rnacentral:rRNA from 1 species
UACGAAGGGGGCUAGCGUUGUUCGGAAUUACUGGGCGUAAAGGGCGCGUAGGCGGUCCUUCAAGUCAGGCGUGAAAGCCCCGGGCUCAACCUGGGAACCGCGCUUGAGACUGGCGGGCUAGAGUUCGGGAGAGGAUGGUGGAAUUCCCAGUGUAGAGGUGAAAUUCGUAGAUAUUGGGAAGAACACCGAUGGCGAAGGCAGCCAUCUGGACCGACACCUGACGCUGAGGCGCGAAAGCGUGGGGAGCAAACAGG